GCCCACAGAGGUAAAGACAAGGUCAGAUAGGCUGAGAGACGCAGGAAAGCGGGUCAAUGUGUAGGGCUGGAGGGCAGGGGCGGGCCCUGGGCCUGGGCUGGGGGUCCUGCCCCGGGGCGCACCCAGGGCGAGGGCUGCCCGGAGGAGCCGAGGCUGGCGGACAGCUUGGCCCUGAGCUUGAGGGGAAGGCAGCGAUGGGACAAAGGACGGAGGUCUAGGAAGAGGGUCUGCAGAGCAGAAAGCACGGGUAGGGGCGGCCUGACGCUCGGAAGACAACGGAUGGGAGCCGUGUGCACGUCGGGAGCUCGGAGUGAGCGUGAGUUCCGUGCCCAGGCCCGCGACUCGGUCCACCAGGACAGCGCUCCGGGUCGACGGGGUCCUGGAGCCGCGCUCGGGGAGGGCGCAGCGGAGGGUGAGCGGCGGCGUUAGGACCCGGAGGCGCGGGCGGAGGUGGCGGGGCUAGGACCCAGCGGCUCCGGCAGAGCGGAAGCGGCGGCGGGAGCUUCCGGGAGGGCGGCUCGCGGGCACCAUGACUCCUGUGAGGAUGCAGCACUCCCUGGCAGGUCAGACCUAUGCCGUGCCCCUCAUCCAGCCAGACCUGCGGUGAGAGGAGGCCGUCCAGCAGAUGGCAGAUGCCCUGCAGUACCUGCAGAAGGUCUCUGGAGACAUCUUCAGCAGGAUCUCCCAGCAGGUAGAGCAGAGCCGGAGCCAGGUGCAGGCCAUUGGAGAGAAGGUCUCCUUGGCCCAGGCCAAGAUUGAGAAGAUCAAGGGCAGCAAGAAGGCCAUCAAGGUGUUCUCCAGUGCCAAGUACCCUGCUCCAGAGCGCCUGCAGGAAUAUGGCUCCAUCUUCACGGGCGCCCAGGACCCUGGCCUGCAGAGACGCCCCCGCCACAGGAUCCAGAGCAAGCACCGCCCCCUGGACGAGCGGGCCCUGCAGGAGAAGCUGAAGGACUUUCCUGUGUGCGUGAGCACCAAGCCGGAGCCCGAGGACGAUGCAGAAGAGGGACUUGGGGGUCUUCCCAGCAACAUCAGCUCUGUCAGCUCCUUGCUGCUCUUCAACACCACCUAGAACCUGUACAAGAAGUAUGUCUUCCUGGACCCCCUGGCUGGUGCUGUAACAAAGACCCAUGUGAUGCUGGGGGCAGAGACAGAGGAGAAGCUGUUUGAUGCCCCCUUGUCCAUCAGCAAGAGAGAGCAGCUGGAACAGCAGGUCCCUGAGAACUACUUCUAUGUGCCAGACCUGGGCCAGGUGCCUGAGAUUGAUGUUCCAUCCUACCUGCCUGACCUGCCCGGCAUUGCCAACGACCUCAUGUACAUUGCCGACCUGGGCCCCGGCAUUGCCCCCUCUGCCCCUGGCACCAUUCCAGAACUGCCCACCUUCCACACUGAGGUAGCCGAGCCUCUCAAGGUAGACCUACAAGAUGGGGUACUAACACCACCCCCACCGCCCCCACCACCACCCCCAGCUCCUGAGGUGCUGGCCAGUGCACCCCCACUCCCACCCUCAACCGCGGCCCCUGUAGGCCAAGGCGCCAGGCAGGACGACAGCAGCAGCAGCGCGUCUCCUUCAGUCCAGGGAGCUCCCAGGGAAGUGGUCGACCCCUCCGGUGGCCGGGCCACUCUGCUAGAGUCCAUCCGCCAAGCUGGGGGCAUCGGCAAGGCCAAGCUGCGCAGCAUGAAGGAGCGAAAGCUGGAGAAGAAGAAGCAGAAGGAGCAGGAGCAAGUGAGAGCCACGAGCCAAGGUGGGCACUUGAUGUCGGAUCUCUUCAACAAGCUGGUCAUGAGGCGCAAGGGCAUCUCUGGGAAAGGACCUGGGGCUGGUGAGGGGCCCGGAGGAGCCUUUGCCCGUGUGUCAGACUCCAUCCCUCCUCUGCCGCCACCGCAGCAGCCACAGGCAGAGGAGGACGAGGAUGACUGGGAAUCCUAGGGGGCUCCAUGACACCUUCCCCCCCAGACCCAGACUUGGGCCGUUGCUCUGACAUGGACACAGCCAGGACAAGCUGCUCAGACCUGCUUCCCUGGGAGGGGGUGACGGAACCAGCACUGUGUGGAGACCAGCUUCAAGGAGCGGAAGGCUGGCUUGAGGCCACACAGCUGGGGCGGGGACUUCUGUCUGCCUGUACUUCAUGGGGGGACGGCUCCACCCAGCCUGCGCCACUGUGUUCUUCUCUUAAGAGGCUUCCAGAGAAAACGGCACACCAAUCAAUAAAGAACUGAGCAGAAA
ensembl:lncRNA WASH2P WASP family homolog 2, pseudogene